CUGCUUAAUCUGGCUCCACAAAGUGACGAACAAGGAGUUCCUGUUUGGCUGUGAUAGAGGCUGCUCACUGAAGUCAUAAAUAUCUGUGAGGACCAUUUCACUUGGAUCCCUAGAAGGGUACAGCUCAGAGAUCAAAAUUCUAAAGAUGACAGUCUGAGGCACAUGGAAGGAAGCAGUUUCAUUAUCAGACUUCAGUGACAAUCCAAACAAAUGAAGCUAAAGAAUUACAUUCAAUUAAUUUGUGGAAGUUAAAGCAUAUAUAAGAAUGACACAGAACUUGAUAAAUGAAUACAAAACAUGAAAGUGAAUACAAAACAUUAAA